GCAAUAUCACAUUUAAACACCGGUUCUCAUAUAAUCACCAAAGUGAAGCAAUAUUGAGCUUAGUCAGUACCUAGAUGGGUGACUGCUUGGGAAUACCAGGUGCUGUAAG